rnacentral:tRNA from 1 species
GGGGCUGUAGCUCAGUGGCAGAGCACUUGCCUCGAAUGCAUGAGGUACUGGAUUCAAUUCUCAGCAUCA